AUGUCUAUAAAUGCUGAUCCCAAUGCAUCUUUUUCAUUAUCAACAUGGAUAUUAACCACACACACAACACCACAUAACACAACACAACACCACACACACAACACACACACACAAAACACAACACCACACACGCAACAAAACACAACACCACACACACACAGAACACAACACCACACAGAACACACACACAACACCACAGAACACAACACCACACCACGCACACAACACAGAACACAACACAACACAACACCACACACAACACAACACAACACACAGAACACAACACCACAGAUCACAACACCACACACACACAACACAAAACAACACACAGAACACCACACCACACACACACAACACAAAACACAACACCACACACAGAACACAACAACACACCACUACACACACACACACACACACACACACACACACACACACACACACAGAACACAACACACCAACACAACACCACACACACAACACAACACCACACACAAAGAACACAACACCACACAGAACACCACACCACAGAACACAACACACACACACAACAAAGAAUACAACACCACACACACAUAUACACACACACACACAGAACACCACACAGACACAACAACACACACACACACACACACACACACAACACCACAGAACACACACACACAACACAAAACACAACACCACACACACAGUACACACCACUACACACAGAACACACCACUACACACACACACACACACACACACACAGAACACAUCACCACACACACACAAAACACAACACACCACCACACACACACACACACACACACACACACACACACACAGAACACACACAGAACACAACACAACACCACACACAACACAACACACCACACAGAACACAACACCACACACAACAAGAACACAACACCACACAGAACACACACACAACACAAAACACAACACACACACACACACAACACAACACACAACACAACACACAACACCACACACACACACACAACACCACACAGAACACACACACACACAACACAGAACAAAACACACAGAACACAACACCACACAGAACACACAACACCACACACACACAGAACACAACACCACACACAACACACUAACACACAACACAGAACAAAACACACAGAACACAACACCACACAGAACACACACACACACAACACCACAGAACACAACAGCACAUCACGCACACAACACAGAACACAACACAACACCACACACAACACCACACACACACACACACACACACACACACACAACACAACACACAAAACACAACACCACACACAACACAGAACACACACACAACACAACACACAAAACACAACACCACACACAACACAGAACACACAACACACACACACACAGAACACAACACCACACAGAACACACAACACCACACACACACACACACACACACACACACCGAACACAACACCACACCACGCACACAACACACAACACACCACACAGAACACACACACACACACACACACACACACACACACACACACACACCACACACACACCACACAGAACACAACACCACAGAACACACAGAACACAACACCACACAGAACACAACACACACACAUCACACACACACAUAACACAAAGAACACAACACCACACACAUAUACACACACACACACAUCACACACACACAUCACACCACACAGACACAACAACACACACCACACACACAACACAAAACACAACACCACACACACAACACACAGAACACUCACACAGAACACCACACAGACACAACAACACACAGAACACACACACACACAACACCAGAGAACACAAGGCCCCCCCCCCCCCCCCACCCACCCACACACACACACAACACAAAACACAACACCACAACACAAAACACAACACCACACACACAGAACACACUACUACACACAGAACACACCACACACACACACAGCUACAACAGUCGGUGAGUUAA
ensembl:lncRNA